UAGGGAAUUUUCGUCAAUGGGCGCAAGCCUGAACGAGCAAUGCCGCGUGAACGAGGAAGGUCUUCGGAUCGUAAACUUCUAUCAACAGGGACGAAAGAAAUGACGGUACCUGAAUAAGAAGCCCCGGCUAACUACGUGCC
rnacentral:rRNA from 1 species